CGCGACCGUGCCUACCGUACCGCUCCCGCUAACCCAAUAUGCGGACGAGGUAUAUUUUCGCAAAUAUGUGUCAUGCAAGUAUAUUUUUGUAAAUUGAAAGAAAAAAAAGUAUAUUUUCAAAUUUUUUUCUUUGAAAAACUACUAGAAAAACAGACCUUGAAAAUAAAAACUUUAAUAGAAAAUAAAACCCGAUCUCGAUUAGUACCAUCGUAUUUGGCGCUCAAAUACAAUAUCUCAACACCACGUACUUGACGCUACUCCCCACGUCCAAAAAGAAUUCAUAGUAUCCGAAGGUAAAUUUAGUGAGAAGUAAAAAUGACCAAAAUGACCCUCAUCUAUGAAAAAUAUAUAAAUGGUGAUAGGAAGUCAAAUUUAGUGAGAAGUAAAAAUGACCAAAAUGACCCUCAUCAAGGAAAAAUAUACUAAUGGUGAUAGGUAGGUAAAUGGCAUUUAAGGGAUAAAAAUUCUCGUUUUAUAUGCUGAAGGUAGAUAGGAUGUUAGAAGUUGGUUUUUGUGGAACAAAAUUCAAACUCCAGGAGUUAGUUUUUUAGGACGGAUGGAGUAAGUCGCUAAGAACAUUGGCACAUUGUUACGGAUUCUAGGUCAGAAACAAAUGAGUUAGGAUGGGAGAUGGGUAUAACCGACCGUAGGAUUAAAAAUGAAUGUGGAAAUGAACUGAGAGAAAAUUUUCAUUAAAAGAAAAAAUCCAAGCACCGAAACAGCAGCUAAGAGCAUCUCCAACAGUCUCUCUAAAUUUGACUCUCCAAAUAUCUAUUUGGCCAACUCUCUAUCUAAUUUGGUAAGUCAAACUCGUGAUUUACUUCAACAGCCUCUCCAUCUGCUAUCUCCAUCAUAAGUCUAUGACAAAUAGGACCCAUAUGUCAGCCUAUACUACCUUUUUCCACCCCAUUCCCCCAUACAUCCCCUUCUUCCUCCGUUCUACUCCUACUUCGGAUGUGGCGACGACGACUCACAGGAAGCGGACCGCGCGAGGUGGCGGCGGCGAACGGCGGCGGGCGCGCGAGGCGGCGCCGAGCCAACGGGCUGCAGCGUGCGGAUCCGUUCCUUGCCGGCCUCCCUCGCUCCUCCCUCACCGCCGCGCCCUCCAUCCCUCGCCGGCUCGAGGUAGCGCGCGAGGCGGUGCGCGCGGCGGCGGACGGCUCAAGGCGGCGCGCGAGGUGGUGCGAGACGGCGGCGGGCGCGAGAGGCGGCGCGAGACGACGCUGAGCCGGCGGGCUGCAGCGCGCGGAUCCGCUCCUCGGCGGCCUUCCUCGCUCCUCCCUCACCGCCGCGCCCUCCAUCCCUCGGCGGCGCGGCUGGAGAGGACGCGGACGGCGGCGGUGGUCGCGGCUGGGGAUGGCGCGGAUGGCGGCGGCUGCCGCGGCUGGGGACGGCGCGGACGACGGCGGGCGGUCGUGGCUAGCUCUGUCGUCGCCGUCGUUGCCUUUUGGUCUAGCCGGGGGAAAGGGAGAGAGAUGGGGUGGGAGGUGGCGUGGUGGGGCCCACGAAUAGCCAAGCAAAGAGACUCCAAGUUUGGCCAGUGAUGGGUGUGAUUUGGCCAUCCAGAUGGCUUGGCUAACUGGCUGGAGAGGCUGUUGGAGGGUAUUUUUUCCCAUGCUAGCUAAAAUUUAACUUGGCCAGCCCUUUAGCCAUUCUAUUGGAGUUGCUCUAAGGUGUUCGAUCAAUUCGAUUGGAAUAAUGGAUGUCUCUUUAAUUGCGUCCAAUUGAUCUAACUCAAAUUAAUAACUAAAGAAGAUGACCACGAUGGCCAGGAUCACAAAUCUUGGAGUCAUGUCCAGCAGCAAGAUUUCAAUCGAUAUUUGUUCUUUUUGUUCCUCACCAAACAAUUUGACAGCACAUAGGGCCUCAUUUCAAAUGCCCGCCGUGCUCCAGAUGUCAGCCCAAUGGGCCUGUGGGCUCAUAUCCAGGCCCUAUAUGCUGCAGCACCCGUAUGGGCCUAUAUGGGCCAUAUAGGCGUGUGGGCCCAAAUCGCGGCCCAUCCAAAGGAGAGCCGAACGGCACAGGAGGAUUGAAGGCUUGAAGCGGAGCGGCGUCGCACGCAGGCCUGUUUGUUACAGCUACAACUCCUAAAUUUAGCUCCAGGAGUUGGGUCUGGAGUGGAGUUGUGGAGCUGCCUAAACCCAGCUCCACAACUCUAGUUCAUUUUGUGAGAGAGCUCUACCCAGCUCCACUCCUAGUUUUGGUGGAGCUGAAACUGUUUGGCUAAGCUCUAGCUCCAAGAGAGGCGGAGCUGGAGCUGGACCUGUGCCAAACAGGCCCGCAGGCACGCGUCGCGCACGGAGUUCGCCCGCGGCGGCGGCGGCGGCGCCGGCCAAACGGCGCAAGGUCGGGGUCGCUUUUUCGCCGGAAAACGAGGGGGACGUUUCCUCGUUUGUGCGGAUGUGCCGCUGUGAUAGAUCGUUCAUUCGGGACGAGGUUGUGUCUCAGGAGUCAGAAAUAUGUCGUCGAUCGACUUCUGGUCACCUCUUGGGGAGAGGGCUUCUUUCAACUCUUCGAUCUCUAUGUACCCGCUGCCGUUCUUGUCGAAGAAGCUGAACACCUUCGGAAGGUGCUCAUCGCUACGGAUU